UACGAAGGGGGCUAGCGUUGCUCGGAAUUACUGGGCGUAAAGCGCACGUAGGCGGAUUCUUAAGUCGGUGGUGAAAUCCUGGAGCUCAACUCCAGAACUGCCUUCGAUACUGGGAAUCUUGAGUUCGGUAGGGGAGACUGGAAUUGCCUGGUGUAGCGGUGAAAUGCGCAGAUAUCAGGAGGAACACCGGUGGCGAAGGCGGAUCUCUGGGCCGAUACUGACGCUGAGGAGCGAAAGCGUGGGGAGCGAACAGG
rnacentral:rRNA from 1 species